GAUGAACGCUGGCGGCGUGCCUAAUACAUGCAAGUCGAGCGAACAGGCGAGGAGCUUGCUCCUCUGACGUUAGCGGCGGACGGGUGAGUAACACGUGGAUAACCUACCUAUAAGACUGGGAUAACUUCGGGAAACCGGAGCUAAUACCGGAUAAUAUAUUGAACCGCAUGGUUCAGUAGUGAAAGACGGUUUUGCUGUCACUUAUAGAUGGAUCCGCGCCGCAUUAGCUAGUUGGUAAGGUAACGGCUUACCAAGGCAACGAUGCGUAGCCGACCUGAGAGGGGGAUCGGCCACACUGGAGCUGAGACACGGUCCAGACUCCUACGGGAGGCAGCAGUAGGGAAUCUGCCGCAGUGGGCGAAAGCCUGACGGAGCAACGCCGCGUGAGUGAUGAAGGUCUUCGGAUCGUAAAACUCUGUUAUUAGGGAAGAACAAAUGUGUAAGUAACUAUGCACGUCUUGACGGUACCUAAUCAGAAAGCCACGGCUAACUACGUG
rnacentral:rRNA from 1 species